rnacentral:rRNA from 1 species
GUAGGUGAACCUGCGGAAGGAUCAUUAAUGAAUUACAAGUCGGCCGUCUGUGCUGGUGGCAACACAUGUGCACGUCAGUCGCAAAUCCACACACCUGUGCACUUUAGACUUUGGGGUUCGCAUUCACAUGCAGUCGGUCUCCUUUGGGAGGCUUGAAUCCCAGGGUAUUUUACACACACUCUGAAUGUAAUGGAAUGUACCUGUGCUUAACCGCGCAUUUAAUACAACUUUCAACAACGGAUCUCUUGGCUCUCGCAUCGAUGAAGAACGCAGCGAAAUGCGAUAAGUAAUGUGAAUUGCAGAAUUCAGUGAAUCAUCGAAUCUUUGAACGCACCUUGCACCCUUUGGUAUUCCGAAGGGUACACCCGUUUGAGUGUCAUUGUAAUCUCACACCCUCAGACUUUUGUCAAAGGGAAGUGGACUUGGAUGUUGUCGUGUCACUACGACUCGUCUCAAAUGCAUGAGUGUACCCUGCGUCCGCAGCGUAUUCGGUGUGAUAAGCAUCUUCACCGGAGUAGUGCCCUCGGGCUCGCGCUUGCAAAUGUUGGGCUCUGCACUUCAAACCGUCUUCGGACAACAACUGACRAUUUGACCUCAAAUCGGGUGGGACUACCCGCUGAACUUAAGCAUAUCAAUAAGCGGAGGAAAAGAAACUAACAAGGAUUCCCCUAGUAACGGCGAGUGAAGAGGGAAAAGCUCAAAUUUUGAAUCUGGCGUCUUUGGCGUCCGAGUUGUAAUCUAGAGAAGUGUUUUCUGUGUUGGACCGUGCAAAAGUUCCCUGGAACGGGGCGUCAUAGAGGGUGAGAAUCCCGUAUAUGGCACGGACUCCCGAUGCUCUACGAUACACUCUCGACGAGUCGAGUUGUUUGGGAAUGCAGCUCAAAAUGGGUGGUAAAUUCCAUCUAAAGCUAAAUAUUGGCGAGAGACCGAUAGCGAACAAGUACCGUGAGGGAAAGAUGAAAAGCACUUUGGAAAGAGAGUGAAACAGUACGUGAAAUUGUUGGAAGGGAAGCGUUUGAAGUCAGUCGCGCUCGUCGGAACUCAGCCUGGCUUCUGCCUGGCGUACUUUCUGGCGAGCGGGUCAGCGUCAGUUUUGGUCGAGGGAGAAAGGCAUUGGGAAUGUGGCAGUCUUCGGGCUGUGUUAUAGCCCUUUGUUGUAUGCCUCGACUGGGAUUGAGGACUGCAGCGCGCC